GACGUAUGGGGCCAGCGUUAUUGGGCAUUACUGGGUGUAAAGGGUACGUAGGUAGUUUUUUAAUAAUAUUUUGUAAAAACGUCUAGAUUAAAUCUUUUUCAUUUUUGCAUCUUCUUAAAAAAAAAACUCGGAGUUUAAAAACAAGUAAUUAGAAUUUUUUAACGGAGGGGCAAAAUCCGUCGAGGUUAAAAGGAAUACCAAAUGUGAAAACAUUUUACAUAUUU
rnacentral:rRNA from 1 species